rnacentral:rRNA from 1 species
CAGCCGCCGCGGGAAUACGUAGGUGGCAAGCGUUGUCCGGAAUUAUUGGGCGUAAAGGGCUCGCAGGCGGUUUCUUAAGUCUGAUGUGAAAGCCCCCGGCUCAACCGGGGAGGGUCAUUGGAAACUGGGAAACCUGAGUGCAGAAGAGGAGAGUGGAAUUCCACGUGUAGCGGUGGAAUGCGUAGAGAUGUGGAGGAACACCAGUGGCGAAGGCGACUCUCUGGUCUGUAACCGACGCUGAGGAGCGAAAGCGUGGGGAGCGAACAGGAUUAGAUACCCCCGUAGUCCCUGUCUCUUAUAC